rnacentral:rRNA from 2 species
AGACCCGAAACCCGGUGAUCUAGCCAUGGGCAGGUUGAAGGUUGGGUAACACUAACUGGAGGACCGAACCGACUAAUGUUGAAAAAUUAGCGGAUGACCUGUGGCUGGGGGUGAAAGGCCAAUCAAACCGGGAGAUAGCUGGUUCUCCCCGAAAGCUAUUUAGGUAGCGCCUCGUGAAUUCAUCUCCGGGGGUAGAGCACUGUUUCGGCUAGGGGGCCAUCCCGGCUUACCAACCCGAUGCAAACUGCGAAUACCGGAGAAUGUUAUCACGGGAGACACACGGCGGGUGCUAACGUCCGUCGUGAAGAGGGAAACAACCCAGACCGCCAGCUAAGGUCCCAAAGUCAUGGUUAAGUGGGAAACGAUGUGGGAAGGCCCAGACAGCCAGGAUGUUGGCUUAGAAGCAGCCAUCAUUUAAAGAAAGCGUAAUAGCUCACUGGUCGAGUCGGCCUGCGCGGAAGAUGUAACGGGGCUAAACCAUGCACCGAAGCUGCGGCAGCGACACUUUAGUGUUGUUGGGUAGGGGAGCGUUCUGUAAGCCGUUGAAGGUGUCCUGUGAGGGGUGCUGGAGGUAUCAGAAGUGCGAAUGCUGACAUAAGUAACGAUAAAGCGGGUGAAAAGCCCGCUCGCCGGAAGACCAAGGGUUCCUGUCCAACGUUAAUCGGGGCAGGGUGAGUCGACCCCUAAGGCGAGGCCGAAAGGCGUAGUCGAUGGGAAACGGGUUAAUAUUCCCGUACUUGGUGUUACUGCGAAGGGGGGACGGAGAAGGCUAUGUUGGCCGGGCGACGGUAGUCCCGGUUUAAGCGUGUAGGCUGGUUUUCCAGGCAAAUCCGGAAAAUCAAGGCUGAGGCGUGAUGACGAGGCACCACGGUGCUGAAGCAACAAAUGCCCUGCUUCCAGGAAAAGCCUCUAAGCAUCAGGUAACAUCAAAUCGUACCCCAAACCGACACAGGUGGUCAGGUAGAGAAUACCAAGGCGCUUGAGAGAACUCGGGUGAAGGAACUAGGCAAAAUGGUGCCGUAACUUCGGGAGAAGGCACGCUGACACGUAGGUGAAGUGAUUUACUCAUGGAGCUGAAGUCAGUCGAAGAUACCAGCUGGCUGCAACUGUUUAUUAAAAACACAGCACUGUGCAAACACGAAAGUGGACGUAUACGGUGUGACGCCUGCCCGGUGCCGGAAGGUUAAUUGAUGGGGUCAGCGCAAGCGAAGCUCCUGAUCGAAGCCCCGGUAAACGGCGGCCGUAACUAUAACGGUCCUAAGGUAGCGAAAUUCCUUGUCGGGUAAGUUCCGACCUGCACGAAUGGCGUAAUGAUGGCCAGGCUGUCUCCACCCGAGACUCAGUGAAAUUGAACUCGCUGUGAAGAUGCAGUGUACCCGCGGCAAGACGGAAAGACCCCGUGAACCUUUACUAUAGCUUGACACUGAACAUUGAGCCUUGAUGUGUAGGAUAGGUGGGAGGCUUUGAAGCGUGGACGCCAGUCUGCGUGGAGCCGACCUUGAAAUACCACCCUUUAAUGUUUGAUGUUCUAACGUGGACCCGUAAUCCGGGUUGCGGACAGUGUCUGGUGGGUAGUUUGACUGGGGCGGUCUCCUCCUAAAGAGUAACGGAGGAGCACGAAGGUUGGCUAAUCCUGGUCGGACAUCAGGAGGUUAGUGCAAUGGCAUAAGCCAGCUUGACUGCGAGCGUGACGGCGCGAGCAGGUGCGAAAGCAGGUCAUAGUGAUCCGGUGGUUCUGAAUGGAAGGGCCAUCGCUCAACGGAUAAAAGGUACUCCGGGGAUAACAGGCUGAUACCGCCCAAGAGUUCAUAUCGACGGCGGUGUUUGGCACCUCGAUGUCGGCUCAUCACAUCCUGGGGCUGAAGUAGGUCCCAAGGGUAUGGCUGUUCGCCAUUUAAAGUGGUACGCGAGCUGGGUUUAGAACGUCGUGAGACAGUUCGGUCC